rnacentral:rRNA from 1 species
CAGUAGCCACGGGAAUACGUAGGUGGCAAGCGUUGUCCGGAAUUAUUGGGCGUAAAGGGCUCGCAGGCGGUUUCUUAAGUCUGAUGUGAAAGCCCCCGGCUCAACCGGGGAGGGUCAUUGGAAACUGGGAAACUUGAGUGCAGAAGAGGAGAGUGGAAUUCCACGUGUAGCGGCGAAAUGCGUAGAGAUGUGGAGGAACACCAGUGGCGAAGGCGACUCUCUGGUCUGUAACUGACGCUGAGGAGCGAAAGCGUGGGGAGCGAACAGGAUUAGAGACCCGAGUAGUCCCUGUCUCUUAUAC